rnacentral:precursor_RNA from 1 species
GCUCUGCUUCGUUCUCUAUUCUUCCAUGUUAGAUUCCAGAUAUACAUUAGUCAUGAAUCGGACUUAUCAUGUCACAUAUAUAACAUAUAAACCCUCCAAAUGUUACUUUUAAUUCGAUGUUUAAUUUGUCUCAAAAUUAAUCACCUCGUUAAUUAGUCUUUCAUGCUUCAUAAGUUUUUUUUUUGUUUUUCUCAGUUAACUUCUUGUAAAUCUGAGAAACUUUCUUGGCUAUAGAUAUAAAACAAAACAGAAAAACUUUUUCGUUU